rnacentral:rRNA from 1 species
UGGGGAAUUUUGGACAAUGGGGGCAACCCUGAUCCAGCGAUGCCGCGUGUGUGAAGAAGGCCUGCGGGUUGUAAAGCACUUUAGUUGGGGAGGAGAAGGUGCGUAUGAAUAGUGCGCGCUGGAGACGUUACCCAAAGAAUAAGCACCGGCAAACUCUGUGCCAGCAGCCGCGGUAAUACGUAGGGUGCGAGCGUUAAUCGGAAUUACUGGGCGUAAAGCGUGCGCAGGCGGCGACAUAAGACAGAUGUGAAAUCCCCGGGCUCAACCUGGGAACUGCGUUUGUGACUGUGUUGCUAGAGUGUAGCAGAGGGGGGUGGAAUUCCACGUGUAGUGGUGAAAUGCGUAGAUAUCGGGAGGAACACCAGUGGCGAAGGCGACUUCCUGGCCUGUUCUUGACGCUGAGGCGCGAAAGCUAGGGGAGCAAACGGGAUUAGAU